AUGGACAAGAUCCAGAAAGCAUCAGUUUUUAUCCUAGGCCUUCACUUAGCCUGGGUGAGUGGCCAACAAAAGGGGAGACCUGAUCAGCAGCAGGUGAGGCAAAGUCCCCAAUCUCUGACUGUAUCGGAAGGAAGGACUUCAGUUUUGAACUGCACUUAUGAGGACAGCACAUUUGACUACUUCCCAUGGUACCAGCAGAUCCCUGGUGAAGUCCCUGAGUUACUGAUAGCCAUACGUUCAGUGUCAAACAAAAAGGAAGAUGGACGAUUCACAGUCUUCUUCAGGAAAAGUGAUAAACAGCUCUCCUUGCACAUCACAGAUUCUCAGCUUGGAGACUCAGCCACCUACUUCUGUGCAGCAAGUGCACAGUGCUCUCCAGGCAUCUGCAGCCCACACCCAAACCUUCAGCUGGGGCUCCUGCAAAACCCUGUUCUGGAGUGGAGCCUGGCAGAGGUGCAGAGGAGUUUUCAUUUGCAAAAACAGGUGACUGGCGACUCAGUGAACUUAAGAGUCAGACUCAUUCGGGCCGCAGACAGACCAAGAUGA